rnacentral:piRNA from 1 species
UACUUACUAUGUUCUGUCUUUGUGUGUU